UACGUAGGGGGCAAGCGUUGUCCGGAAUUAUUGGGCGUAAAGAGCGUGUAGGCGGUCCGGUAAGUCCGCUGUGAAAGUCCAGGGCUCAACCCUGGAAUGCCGGUGGAUACUGCCGGGCUAGAGUCCGGAAGAGGCGAGUGGAAUUCCUGGUGUAGCGGUGAAAUGCGCAGAUAUCAGGAGGAACACCGAUGGCGAAGGCAGCUCGGUGGGACGGUACUGACGCUGAGACGCGAAAGCGUGGGGAGCAAACAGG
rnacentral:rRNA from 1 species